AUGGCAGCUGAAGUGUCAGUGGGGAUUCGAAGAGAUCUUGUAUUUCCCGCAGUGGAUCCUUGCGCUCUAAGGGCUACAAAGCAAGACUGCUUUUUUUUUUUCCCUGUGCAAAAGGUGCUGGUUUAUGUGCCUGUAUUGCUUCCUGAACAAUAGGAAUAAUGAAAGAAGGUUAAGAAAUAGGAUGAAGCGUCGCUGUGAACUGUACCAUGAAAGCCCCUCUUUGUGCCUCUCCAGUUUGCUGCAGAGGGCAGAACUGGGGUGUGGAGACCCAUUCCUUGUGAAUUGUUUUCUUCCAGAAGAAAAGUUCGCAGGAACCAGAGCCCAGCUGAAACCCGGAUCAAGCUCCAGUAAAGGUUUGAUGGGCGUAUAUUGUGUAUUUUCAAACUCAGUGCAUCUUGUUGGCGUGUCACGCGGGCAACCCUGACCGUACUGCGCUCUCGCACCACGUGCCAGUCCCUUUGAUGUUCUGUAUUUGCCUCGGGGGGCUCAGUCACCUGCAGACACGCACGCUCCCUCAGGAACACGCGUGUCAGCGUGUGGCCGCAGAGAGAAGGGGAGGACGCCUGGGUGUGUCACCGAGCACCUGGGCCAGGCCCCGCGGGGCUGAGGAGAGGGGGGCUCUG
ensembl:lncRNA uncharacterized LOC113483811